rnacentral:lncRNA from 1 species
AUGAAGCUGAAGGUACAUUUUGUGUCUGUGGCUGCUGCACUGACCCUGAUGAAGCAUUAUUCGGAGACGAGGGAUGCAUCUGGUGUAAAUGAACAUGCGCCUGAGCCGAUGGUUGCUGCAGCUGUUGAUGUUGAUGCUGCUGAUGUUGAUGCUGCUGAUGUUGAUGCUGCUGCUGCUGCUGCUGCUGCUGCUGCUGCUGCUGCUGCUGAUGCUGCUGCAGCUGUUGAUGUUGCUGCUGCUGCUGAACUUCAGCGUGCUUCC